rnacentral:lncRNA from 1 species
GAAAAAGCCAUUUGACAUCCAUGGUGGUGGCUCUCUGUAUUAGGAAGGAGCAUCCCAAAUCAUCAACCAAGUGGGUGAUCAGACACCAUGGAGGCUUAGUUAAACUGAGGAUGUGUCCAGCCACCUCCCUCUCUGCAUUGUCACACCAAAAAGAAUCGUGUAGGAGGAAUCCAUGGAAUGGGAGAGUGGUCCUGACCACUGUCUCCCCAUGGUCAUGACUGGGGAAAGGGUCAGAGGUGCUCCCCAGUAGUUAGUUAAAAUAAAGGGAAGAGGCCACGCAGCUCUCCAGUGUGCCUGGGAAACUCUUGGUUCGGUAGAUCUGAUGGUGCCUGCAGAGCCUUCACUCCCUGUGCUUCUCCAGGCAGUCUGGGUGCUACAGAGGAGGAUCACUUUUACGAGAACCUGUCACUCAGCUUUGCUCUGCUAAUCUGAUGAGGAACCUGCUUUGGAAGGACCAUCUCUAUUGAUAAAUGUACCCUGGAGAAAUGCUGAAUGACAUGAUCCCACUAGAUGAGUGUUCUCCAAACAUUUUUGACCAUGAUCCACAGGAAGAUAUACAUUUUACCCCACAGCAUGGUAAAAUACAUUUGUACGUGAAAACUGAAACCUAGCUUUGGAGACACCAAACCAACUACUACUUAGUGUGGGAUAUUUAUUUGUACCCUGUCCUGUUCUUUUUGACUCGGUUUCACUUUCUUUUUGUUGUUGUUAACCAGAGUGCUUAACCAUUUGGCUGCAUCUCCAUGCCUUUUUAUUUAUUUGUUUGUUUAUUUUUUAUUUUGAGACAGAGUCUCUCUAAGUUGCUGAGGCUGGGUUUGAACUUGUGAUCCUCCUGCCUCUACUUCCUGAGCCAUUGGAUUUACAGGCAUGCGCUAGCAUGCUGUUUUUUAUUUUAAAUAAGGACACAGAGACUCACUAAACUGAUCCAGUUAUGAAUCUCAACUGCUGCUUCUGAGAAUCAAAUGCUUCUGAGACUUCUCAUAGCUGUUUGUUGAGUGUCUAGGACUUUGCUUCCUGUGUGGGCAGGUCUAUUAGGGAGUAGUUAUGAUUUGGAUAUGAAGUGUCUCCCCAAAUCUCCUGUUUUAAUGCAGGAAUAUUCAGAGGCGAAAUGAUUGGACUUAUCAGUCUAUUCUAGUUUCAUGAACUAACUAGGUAGUAACUGUAGGCAGGUGGGGCAUGACUGGAGGAGAUAUGUCUUUCCUGCAGCCCCUCACCCUCUCUCUGCUUCCUGGCCAUCCAUGAGUGAUGCAGCUUCCCUCUAACACAUUCUUCUGUGAUGAUGUUCUGCCUCACCUGGGACCCAGAGCAAUGGAGCCAGCAGACCGUGGACUAAAGCUCUGAAACUGUGAGCCAGAAUAAAAUUUGCUUCCUCUAAGUUGUUCUUGUGAGGUAUUUUUGCCAUAUUUGGUGAAAAACUGACUAACAGUAGAGUCUUGGGCCAAAGUUGGCCCAAUAUUGAGGAGGUCCCAUGUUUCUCAGUAAGACUGCCUUAGUGUGCCUACUGUGCUCAGCCAUUGGUUAGGAGCAAGCACGAGUCAUGGUGACAUGUCAGUGGAGGUCAAUCUUAGAGCUGGACCUUAGAGCACACGGUGGGGCCCUUGAC